UACAUGCAGUCGAGCGGAGAGAAGAAGCUUGCUUCUUCUUUCAGCGGCGGACGGGUGAGUAACACGUGGGCAACCUACCUUGUAGAUUGGGAUAACUCCGGGAAACCGGGGCUAAUACCGAAUAAUCCAUUUUGCUUCAUGGCGAAAUGUUAAAAGGCGGCUUUUACCUGUCACUACAAAAUGGGCCCGCGGCGCAUUACCUAGUUGGUAGGGUAACGGCCUACCAAGGCAACAAUGCGUACCCAACCUGAAAGGGUGAUCGGCCACACUGGGACUGAAACACGGCCCAAACUCCUACGGGAGGCAGCAUUAGGGAAUCUUCCACAAUGGACAAAAGUCUGAUGGACCAACCCCCCGUGAUUGAAAAAGGUUUUCGGAUCGUAAAACUCUGUUGUAAGGGAAAAACACUUACAAAAGUAACUGCUCGUACCUUGACGGUACCUUAUUAAAAAGCCACGGCUAACUACUUGCCACCAGCCGCGGUAAUACUUAGGUGGCAAGCGUUGUCCGGAAUUAUUGGGCGUAAAGCCCGCCCAGGCGGUCCUUUAAUUCCAAUGUGAAAGCCCACGGCUCAACCGUGAAGGGUCAUUGGAAACUGGGGGACUUGAUUACAGAAAAGGAAACCGAAAUUCCACGUGUACCGGUGAAAUGCUUAAAGAUGUGAAGGAACACCAUUGGCGAAGGCGGCUUUCUGGUCUGUAACUGACCCUAAGG
rnacentral:rRNA from 1 species